AUGGAUGCUCAGCCUCUUUUCAGGACAUCACUACCAACACAAGCCCUGAAGACAUUUCCUACGGUUCUCCACCAGGCAGAGGAGACAAGAAAUUGGCAGCAGAUGGAUUGGCUAGCAUUAGCCACUGCUGCUGUGCUGGUCAUCCAUUCUCUCUCAUUAACUCACCCAGAAGAAGGAGUUUUGACCCACUGGAGUCUUUAUGCUCUUUUUCUUCCCUUAUGUCUACUUUUUGCCAUUCCACUGAUAGACCUGGGCCAUAUGGCUGGAGGGAUCUUCCUAGCAGGGAAUUCCACCUCAUGUAGUGAGUUGCAUGUAGUAUGGAUGCCUGAACAGGCUCAAAGGAUCAUUGUUAAGAUGAACAUUGUUAAGGUAGGCAUAAGUAACAAAAUCACUGAGUUUGGACCCAAUGACCUCCUUUUCAAAUUGUGAAUUCUUCACUAAGCAUAACUCAACCUGAACUAAUAUUUAUGCAAUGUUUAAUCAACAAGCAAAACAAAAAAAGGAAACAUAAAAAAACCCAAGCUUAACCAAGAUUUGAGUUUGUUUACUCAGAUACAAAUUGAUAAAAGUCCAGCUUGGACAUAAAUAUCAGUUUCAUUAGAUCUUUUGCUUAAGGUGAUGGUCCUUGACCUGUCACAAGGAAUGUGACAGGUGAUGUUUUGAGAGGAAGUGGCAAUUGAUGAGGAUGCUUAGACUGUAAAUGUUGUAGCUCUCCCUCUUUAUUUAAUGAAAUAACUGUAAUCAUAGAAGGAAAAGCACACAAAUGUUUCACACAUAUGGCAAGCUUCAGCAGUCAAUAAGAUGAUCACAGAAUCGCCGAGGCUGGAAGGGACCUCUGGAGAUCAUCUAGUCCAACCCCCCUGCUCAAGCAGGGUCACCUAGAGCACAUUGCACAGGAUCGCGUCCAGGCAUGUUUUGAAUAUCUCCAGAGAAGGAGACUCCACAACCUCUCUGGGCAACCUGUUCCAGGGCUCUGUCACCCUCACAGUGAAAAAGUUUUUCCUCAUGUUCAGAUGGAACUGCCUGUGUUUCAGUUUGUGCCCGUUGCCUCGCAUCCUGUCGCUGGGCACCACUGAARAGAGUCUGGUCCCAUCCUCUUGACACCCUCCCUUCAGAUACUUGUACACAUUAAUAAGAUCCCCUCUCAGCCUUCUCUUCUCCAGGCUAAAGAGGCCCAGCUCUCUCAGC
rnacentral:lncRNA from 1 species